rnacentral:rRNA from 1 species
CAGAGUUAGCCGGUGCUUCUUCUGUAGGUAACGUCAUAAUCCUCCCUACUGAAAGUGCUUUACAACCCGCAGGCCUUCCUCACACACGCGGCAUUGCUGCAUCAGGCUUUCGCCCAUUGUGCAAUAUUCCCCA